rnacentral:rRNA from 1 species
GUCGAGCGGAUGAAGGGAGCUUGCUCCUGGAUUCAGCGGCGGACGGGUGAGUAAUGCCUAGGAAUCUGCCUGGUAGUGGGGGAUAACGUCCGGAAACGGGCGCUAAUACCGCAUACGUCCUGAGGGAGAAAGUGGGGGAUCUUCGGACCUCACGCUAUCAGAUGAGCCUAGGUCGGAUUAGCUAGUUGGUGGGGUAAAGGCCUACCAAGGCGACGAUCCGUAACUGGUCUGAGAGGAUGAUCAGUCACACUGGAACUGAGACACGGUCCAGACUCCUACGGGAGGCAGCAGUGGGGAAUAUUGGACAAUGGGCGAAAGCCUGAUCCAGCCAUGCCGCGUGUGUGAAGAAGGUCUUCGGAUUGUAAAGCACUUUAAGUUGGGAGGAAGGGCAGUAAGUUAAUACCUUGCUGUUUUGACGUUACCAACAGAAUAAGCACCGGCUAACUUCGUGCCAGCAGCCGCGGUAAUACCAAGGGUGCAAGCGUUAAUCGGAAUUACUGGGCGUAAAGCGCGCGUAAGUGGUUCACCAAGUUGGAUGUGAAAUCCCCGGGCUCAACCUGGGAACUGCAUCCAAAACUACUGAGCUAGAGUACGGUAGAGGGUGGUGGAAUUUCCUGUGUAGCGGUGAAAUGCGUANAUAUAGGAAGGAACACCAGUGGCGAAGCGACCACCCGGACUGAUUCUGAACACUGAGGUGCGAAAGCGUGGGGAGCAAACAAGAUUAGAUACCCUGGUAGUCCCCGCCGGUAAACGAUGUCGACUAGCCCGUUGGGAUCCUUUGAAAUCUUAGUGGCGCAGCUAACGCGAUAAGUCG